rnacentral:rRNA from 1 species
AUUCCAGCUCCAAUAGCGUAUAUUUUAGUUGUUGCAGUUAAAAAGCUCGUAGUUGAAUUUCUGGUGGGAAGAUGCGGACGGCCUCAUGGCUUGUUCCAAGUCUUCCGGCCAUCCUUGGGUGGAGCUCGUCUGGCAUUAAGUUGUCGGGCGGGGGAUGCCCAUCGUUUACUGUGAAAAAAUUAAAGUGUUCAAAGCAGACUUAUGUCGUUGAAUAUAUUAGCAUGGAAUAAUAAGAUAGGACAGCAGUGCUAUUUUGUUGGUUUGCGCACCGUUGUAAUGAUGAAUAGGGACAGUUGUGGGUAUUUAUAUUCACUUGUAAGAGGUGAAAUUCUUAGAUUAAGGGAAGAUAAACUACUGCGAAAGCAUUUACCAAGGAUGUUUUCAUCG